UACGGGGGGGGCAAGCGUUGUUCGGAAUUACUGGGCGUAAAGGGCUCGUAGGCGGCCAACUAAGUCGGAUGUGAAAUCCCCAGGCUUAACCUGGGAACUGCAUCCGAUACUGGAUGGCUUGAAUCCGGGAGAGGGAUGCAGAAUUCCAGGUGUAGCGGUGAAAUGCGCAGAUAUCGGGAGGAACACCAAUGGCGAAGGCAGCUCGCUGGGACGUUACUGACGCUGAGACGCGAAAGCGUGGGGAGCAAACAGGG
rnacentral:rRNA from 1 species